CUUCCUCGCUCAUAGGAGUCCGCGGUGGGUGACCAGGCCCCGGUCGCCGCGCCGCGCCGCGCGCUUGUCGGCCGGGCCGCCCGCCCGCCUCAGAGCUCGCCGUGGCGAUCUAGUCCCGUCCCUUCCCGUGCCGUCUGGCCAUCUUGGCAGGUUCAUCCUGCGUCUUGGCCGUGCCGUCGCCUGGGUCGAUGUCGGCGGCGCGUGCCUGGAACGCGAGCAGCUUCGUCUGUCGCUUGCGCGUCCCCGGCAGCCCAGCCGGCCAGGCUGCAGCGGCACCGGGUCCGGCGCAUCCUCAUCGAUGGCGCGCCCGUUUCGCUCUUUGCUGUUGAACGCCAUCCAGGCGAUGCAAGCAUGUUCAGCAGCACAAGCGCUGCACCUUGCGUUCGGCGUCGGACGGCGGCGACGGCGCCAGGUUAUCUUCAGGGGAGCGUACUGGCUACGGUUCUGGGUGCAGCUGCAGCGUGACGAGCACACUAAGAACGCACUCUCCGAGAUGAGUAGAAACAUAGAGAUUAUUGCUAUGGAGCUAGUAAAAGGAGGGUGGAAGCAAAACUAUCGUUUGCAGUAGUUCUUUGUCUGAAUUGGAGACUAGUUGUGCUCUUCUUUCUUUGUAAAGUUUGUAAUAAUUGGCUGUGUACAUCUACGGAUGUAUAGGCCGGAUUCGUAAUCCUUUUUCUAAAAAAAAUGUGUACUGCUUGCUUGAUGCUGUUGCCACUGUCACCGAUAAUUGUAUUUCUUACACAAUUCUGUACUACA